UACGUAGGGUGCGAGCGUUGUCCGGAAUUACUGGGCGUAAAGAGCUCGUAGGUGGUUUGUCGCGUUGUUCGUGAAAACCGGGGCUUAACCCUCGGCGUGCGGGCGAUACGGGCAGACUGGAGUACUGCAGGGGAGACUGGAAUUCCUGGUGUAGCGGUGGAAUGCGCAGAUAUCAGGAGGAACACCGGUGGCGAAGGCGGGUCUCUGGGCCGAUACUGACGCUGAGGAGCGAAAGCGUGGGGAGCGAACAGG
rnacentral:rRNA from 1 species